rnacentral:rRNA from 1 species
AGAGUUUGAUCAUGGCUCAGAAUCAACGCUGGCGGCGCGCUUAACACAUGCAAGUCGAACGGGAAAGUGGAGCAAUCCAUGAGUACAGUGGCGUACGGGUGAGUAACACGUGGGUGAUCUACCUUUUAGUGGGGAAUAACCCUGGGAAACCGGGGCUAAUACCGCAUAAGCCCGAGAGGGGAAAGCAGCAAUGCGCUGAAAGAGGAGCCCGCGGCCGAUUAGCUAGUUGGCAGGGUAAGAGCCUACCAAGGCAGAGAUCGGUAGCCGGCCUGAGAGGGCACACGGCCACACUGGCACUGAAACACGGGCCAGACUCCUACGGGAGGCAGCAGUGGGGAAUCUUGCACAAUGGGGGCAACCCUGAUGCAGCGACGCCGCGUGAGCGAUGAAGCCCUUCGGGGUGUAAAGCUCUUUCGGCAGGGAAGAUGAUGACGGUACCUGCAGAAGCAGCUGCGGCUAACUACGUGCCAGCAGCCGCGGUA